AACGAACGCUGGCGGCAGGCUUAACACAUGCAAGUCGAACGGUGUAGCAAUACACAGUGGCAGACGGGUGAGGAACACGUGGGAACAUCCCUUUCGGUUCGGAAUAACGUUGGGAAACUAACGCUAAUACCGGAUACGUCCUUCGGGAGAAAGAUUUAUCGCUGAAAGAUUGGCCCGCGUCCGAUUAGCUAGUUGGUGAGGUAAUGGCUCACCAAGGCUACGAUCAGUAGCUGAUCUGAGAGGAUGAUCAGCCACAUUGGGACUGAGACACGGCCCAAACUCCUACGGGAGGCAGCAGUGGGGAAUAUUGGACAAUGGGCGCAAGCCUGAUCCAGCCAUGCCGCGUGAGUGAUGACGGCCUUCGGGUUGUAAAGCUCUUUUGUCCGGGAAGAUAAUGACUGUACCGGAAGAAUAAGCCCCGGCAAACUUCGUGCCAGCCGCCGCAGUAA
rnacentral:rRNA from 1 species